UGUUUGGCUUUAUUCGAUUCUUUGAAAAUACUUGUAGAUCACUUUCUUUCUUUCAAUUUCUUUAUGAAAACCCGGCCCGGUUCACUUCCGUUUGAUCGUGACAAAAUUCUGGGCGUGAACACCUGAUGACCCGAGGGGGCUUGUGGGUGCAGUAAUGGAAUGCGUCUGAAGUGCGUGACGGCCUUUGGUGGGAAUGGCAGAAAUUUGUGAGUUUCCGGCGACGCUUAUAAAUUCUGUUUUUUAUCUGCUCGUGUGAUUGCAAAGAAAAGUCGCCACGGGUUGCCGCAGGAAAAUGGGUGCUCUCUCAAUGCAAUUGUGUGUUUUCCUUUGGGGGUUGUUUCUUGGCGUUUGCGCAAUAGAUGCACCAAAUAUUAUUGUGCUUUUAAGCUACAUUUAUUUCAAUUACAAAAUUAUUUGAUUGAUCACAAGAGAUUUGAGAUGGGGAAUACUGCAGUGAUUUUAAGGCGAGCAAUUAUUUCAUUUUGUGUAUUUUACUGUUGUUCCAAACAAGAUCAUUUAACUUGAAAAAAAUACUUGAAUGACUAAUUUAUAAUAUUAUUACAAGCAGGUAAUUCAAUCUCCAAGUAUUGCAAUCUCCAAGAGAAAGACCAAACUUUGGUCCCUGCGACUAGUCCCACAAAUUCAAACCAGUUUGGAUUCAGAUUUUCAAUUUUUGGGACAAGCCGCUGGGACUUGGUCCUCAGAAGGCCUUGUGUGAGCUGUUCCUCGGACAAGUCCCUGCAAACAGUCCCUUCGUGUAAACUGUUCCAGGAGCUAGUUGCAGGGACUAGUCGCAGGGACUAGUCGCAGGGACUGGUCCCCUCAUGUGUGCUGGCCUUAAUGGUGAGCUCACUGGCCUCUAUAAUGAGUGGCACAGGGAUGUGCCAAUCCAAUGAUAUACUGGGGUUAACCUGUUAUCACACUGUAACCUGAGUGAAUACAAAAUAUAGCACUAGAUUUGAAUGACAAAAUUUAUGAAAAUGGUAACUUCAUGCUUCUGUUUCCAGACCAAGGACUUCUCCCAUCAGUGGGAGGCUAUUGGUAUUAAAAUCUUGCAUAAUUUAUGCAAUAGGGGUAAAGAAACAGGGUUAAAUAUGAUGGCAGUAUAUUUCACUUUGG